CGGCGUGCCUAAUACAUGCAAGUCGAACGAACUCUGGUAUUGAUUGGUGCUUGCAUCAUGAUUUACAUUUGAGUGAGUGGCGAACUGGUGAGUAACACGUGGGAAACCUGCCCAGAAGCGGGGGAUAACACCUGGAAACAGAUGCUAAUACCGCAUAACAACUUGGACCGCAUGGUCCGAGCUUGAAAGAUGGCUUCGGCUAUCACUUCUGGAUGGUCCCGCGGCGUAUUAGCUAGAUGGUGGGGUAACGGCUCACCAUGGCAAUGAUACGUAGCCGACCUGAGAGGGUAAUCGGCCACAUUGGGACUGAGACACGGCCCAAACUCCUACGGGAGGCAGCAGUAGGGAAUCUUCCACAAUGGACGAAAGUCUGAUGGAGCAACGCCGCGUGAGUGAAGAAGGGUUUCGGCUCGUAAAACUCUGUUGUUAAAGAAGAACAUAUCUGAGAGUAACUGUUCAGGUAUUGACGGUAUUUAACCAGAAAGCCACGGCUAACUACGUGCCAGCAGCCGCGGUAAUACGUAGGUGGCAAGCGUUGUCCGGAUUUAUUGGGCGUAAAGCGAGCGCAGGCGGUUUUUUAAGUCUGAUGUGAAAGCCUUCGGCUCAACCGAAGAAGUGCAUCGGAAACUGGGAAACUUGAGUGCAGAAGAGGACAGUGGAACUCCAUGUGUAGCGGUGAAAUGCGUAGAUAUAUGGAAGAACACCAGUGGCGAAGGCGGCUGUCUGGUCUGUAACUGACGCUGAGGCUCGAAAGUAUGGGUAGCAAACAGGAUUAGAUACCCUGGUAGUCCAUACCGUAAACGAUGAAUGCUAAGUGUUGGAGGGUUUCCGCCCUUCAGUGCUGCAGCUAACGCAUUAAGCAUUCCGCCUGGGGAGUACGGCCGCAAGGCUGAAACUCAAAGGAAUUGACGGGGGCCCGCACAAGCGGUGGAGCAUGUGGUUUAAUUCGAAGCUACGCGAAGAACCUUACCAGGUCUUGACCUACUAUGCAAAUCUAAGAGAUUAGACGUUCCCUUCGGGGACAUGGAUACAGGUGGUGCAUGGUUGUCGUCAGCUCGUGUCGUGAGAUGUUGGGUUAAGUCCCGCAACGAGCGCAACCCUUAUUAUCAGUUGCCAGCAUUAAGUUGGGCACUCUGGUGAGACUGCCGGUGACAAACCGGAGGAAGGUGGGGAUGACGUCAAAUCAUCAUGCCCCUUAUGACCUGGGCUACACACGUGCUACAAUGGAUGGUACAACGAGUUGCGAACUCGCGAGAGUAAGCUAAUCUCUUAAAGCCAUUCUCAGUUCGGAUUGUAGGCUGCAACUCGCCUACAUGAAGUCGGAAUCGCUAGUAAUCGCGGAUCAGCAUGCCGCGGUGAAUACGUUCCCGGGCCUUGUACACACCGCCCGUCACACCAUGAGAGUUUGUAACACCCAAAGUCGGUGGGGUAACCUUUUAGGAACCAGCCGCCUAAGGUGGGACAGAUGAUUAGGGUGAAGUCGUAACAAGGUAGCC
rnacentral:rRNA from 2 species